rnacentral:rRNA from 1 species
CGGACAUAUCAUAACGAAGAGGUAUCGUAAUUGAAGAGGUUUGGAAAGACCCACCACAGAAGGUAAUAGUCCUGUAUGUUAAACGAGAAGACUUCAGAUAUGAUCCAGAGUACCACGGGACACGUGAAACCCUGUGGGAAGCAGGAGGGACCACCCUCCAAGGCUAAAUACUACCUAGUGACCGAUAGCGUAUAGUACCGUGAGGGAAAGGUGAAAAGAACCCCGGGAGGGGAGUGAAAUAGAACCUGAAACCCUGCACUUACAAGCUGUGGAAGCACAUUUCUUGUGUGACCGCGUACUUUUUGUAGAACGGGCCAACGAGUUACGUUAAGUAGCAAGGUUAAGCACUUAAGGUGCGGAGCCGUAGCGAAAGCGAGUUUUAACUGAGCGUUCAGUUACUUGACGUAGACCCGAAACCGGGCGACCUACCCAUGAGCAGGAUGAAGCGAAAGUAAAAUUUCGUGGAGGUCCGAACCCACGAGCGUUGAAAAGCUCGGGGAUGACUUGUGGGUAGCGGUGAAAUUCCAAUCGAGCCCGGAGAUAGCUGGUUCUCCCCGAAAUAGCUUUAGGGCUAGCCUCAAGGUGAGAGAUACGGAGGUAGAGCACUGAAUGUCCUAGGGGGUAUUGCACCUACCGAAGACUAUCAAACUCCGAAUGCCGUCAUCUUAUACUUGGGAGUCAGACUGUGGGUGAUAAGAUUCAUAGUCGAAAGGGCAACAGCCCAGAUCGUCAGCUAAGGUCCCUAAAUGUAAGUUAAGUGGUAAAGGAUGUGGGAUUGCACAGACAACCAGGAUGUUGGCUUAGAAGCAGCCACUCAUUCAAAGAGUGCGUAAUAGCUCACUGGUCGAGUGAUCCUGCGCCGAAGAUUUCCGGGGCUAAAACUUACUACCGAAGCUACGGCAUCAGUAAUGAUGGGUAGGGGAGCUUCCCAUACGGGUUGAAGCAUGACCGUAAGGACAUGUGGACAGUAUGGGAGUGAGAAUGUUGGCAUGAGUAGCGAGAUGUGGGUGAGAAUCCCACAGGCCGUAAACCCAAGGUUUCCAGGGGAAGGUUCGUCCGCCCUGGGUUAGUCGGGACCUAAGCUGAGGCCGAAAGGCGUAGGUGAUGGACAACAGGUUGAU